AAAAACAAUAAUAAUGAAAUAUCACAUUUACAUACAGUACCAGUCAAAAGUUUGGACACACCUACUCAUUCAAAGAUUCUUCAAAGUGGCCACCCUUUGCCUUGAUGAUAGUGUAGCUUUGCACACUCUUGGCAUUCUCUCAACCAGCUUCAUGAAGUAGUCACCUGGAAGGCAUUUCAAUUAACAGCAGCAGACUGUUCCUCGGUGGAAAAGGUUAAGAUGUUGUGUUGAGUGCGCCGGGCAGGAUGCCUGGUUCUUCCAUGAUUCCUCCAUGCGAGGCCCAAGGGACGGGCCCCCAGCCUGAAACUAGCUGACAAGGCCACUUUGCCAGUAGGUCAUUGUAAAUGUGAA
rnacentral:lncRNA from 1 species